CUUAAUGGUGAUGGAUGUGUUGGCUUAAUGGUGAUGGGGGUGUUGGCUUAAUGGUGAUGGAUGUGUUGGCUUAAUGGUGAUGGGGGUGUUGGCUUAAUGGUGAUGGAUGUGUUGGCUUAAUGGUGAUGGAUGUGUUGGCUUAAUGGUGAUGGAUGUGUUGGCUUAAUGGUGAUGGGGGUGUUGGCUUAAUGGUGAUGGGGGUGUUGGGUUAAUGGUGAUGGAUGUGUUGGCUUAGCAAGAUGUAGGUAACAGGAGAGAGAGACACGGGGAGAGAUGGAGAGAAAAAGAGAUGAUAGAGAGAGUCACUGGAGAGAAUGUCAUGCAGUAUGUAUAUGGACCAGCCUCGUGUGUCAUGCAGUAUGUAUAUGGACCAGCCUCGUGUGUCAUGCAGUAUGUUUUCUGUCAGAUAUGUUUUGUCUUCCCAGAGCUGCCGUGACGGAGGCCGGACUCGUGUGGGACCGCGGAGAUGCCGGGUCAAGCAGGGGAGACAUCACGGAGAGUCACACCAAGAUAGAUAGGUCAAUUUAGGAUGCCGCGGACGGACCAUGCAGAGGACUCAUCGCGACGACACCAACGGUUUGGUUAAGUGGGUUCUCUUGUGUGUGCGUCUGUGUGUGAAUGGCAGGCCUGUCGUAUGAUUGUGUGUGUGUGUGCGUUGGCGUUAUGCCUUCGCACUAUUAUUUUGUUAGGAUGUAUUUUUUUGUGUGUGAACUUUUUGCACGUAAUCUUUUUUUAUACCCAUAGCUAGCGUUUGUUUGUGUGGCAGUGUUCCGGGAGAUGGACGCCGGGGGACAUGGGCUUGGGGAGGCGCACAUGACCUCCUCUGUCCGUGACCUCUUCAGCUGGGGAGACCGCGUGUUGCCCCGCCUGGAGAGACACGUUGAUGGAGGUGGCCGUGUGUGUCACCCUUUGCCUGUAUCCUCUGGCGCCCAGAGGCGCGUAAGUGGAGAGCAUCGGCGCAGCGCGGGAGCAGCACGUCAGGGUGUAGGGUGUUUGUUUAGCUGGUGUAGGGUGUUAGGGUGUUAGGGUGUUAGGUGUAACAACGGUUGGCUCUUUCACAGAACGGGUGUGAUUCCGUUCUGCGUUUGAGUCUUCCACCUUCAGACGGUCUCCC